rnacentral:tRNA from 1 species
GCGGAUAUGGCGGAAUGGCAGACGCGAUGGACUUAGAAUCCAUUGGGCAACCGUGUAAGUUCAAAUCUUAUUAUCCGCACCA